rnacentral:rRNA from 1 species
AAUCAACGCUGGCGGCGUGCCUAACACAUGCAAGUCGCACGAGAAAGUGGAGCAAUCCAUGAGUAAAGUGGCGCACGGGUGAGUAACACGUGAAUAAUCUACCUCCGAGUGGGGAAUAACUGAGAGAAAUCUUAGCUAAUACCGCAUAACACUUACGAGUCAAAGCAGCAAUGCGCUUGGAGAGGAGUUCGCGGCCGAUUAGUUAGUUGGCGGGGUAAUGGCCCACCAAGACGAUGAUCGGUAUCCGG